AUAUUAUCGUACUAACUGGCCUUAUAAGUUGAGAACGUCAAGGUGUACUGUAUCUUGUGAAGAUGCAUCUGUUGCCAACGUUGUGCAUUUCUGGAACAAGGUUUUCUCCUCUGGUACGUAUAAUCUCAUGGCUGUUGGGAAUUCUGGACAUCGCUGUGUCCUGCUCCUUUCUUUUUCUCAUUGUUCCUCGCAGCUCCGCUCACAGGUACUCACUUUAUCAACUGGAUGGCAUGCUUGGGGUCUCCUUUUAUCAGCACUACAAAUGGCUUCAGGCGUAAUAAUUCAAUAGUUUGGAGCUUGAGAGACCACCAAGAAUUUAGUG